AUGAGCACAAGCAAGGAGGCUUGUCAAUCCCACAACAAAACUCAAAAACAGGGACUAAACACGCAAGAAACUAUAACUUUGCAAGGGCAAGUCUCCCCCAUGGCGCUUCUCAAGGACCCGAUGGCUCUUUUCUUGGCAGCAAUUGUGGUGACCGCUAUGGUCAUGCCAUCAUGCUAUGCUGCACAAGGUAUAGUCAUCAACAUCUCUUCACAGGCAUAUUAGGAAAAAGUUGAUUUAUAAUACAUGUCUAUAUACAGAUUUAUAAUACAUGUCAUAUUUUCAU
rnacentral:lncRNA from 1 species